UACGGGGGGAGCAAGCGUUGUUCGGAUUUACUGGGCGUAAAGGGCGCGUAGGCGGUCGUGACAAGUCACUUGUGAAAUCUCCGGGCUUAACUCGGAACGGUCAAGUGAUACUGUCGGACUAGAGUACAGAAGGGGCAACUGGAAUUCUCGGUGUAGCGGUGAAAUGCGUAGAUAUCAUUUGGAACGCCAAUGGUGAAAACAGGUAGCUGGGGCUGUGCUGACACUGAGACACGAAAGCCAGGGGAGCAAACGGG
rnacentral:rRNA from 1 species